AGAGUUUGAUCCUGGCUCAGGAUGAACGCUAGCUACAGGCUUAACACAUGCAAGUCGAGGGGAAACGGCAUUGAGUGCUUGCACUCUUUGGACGUCGACCGGCGCACGGGUGAGUAACGCGUAUCCAACCUUCCCAUUACUGUGGGAUAACCUGCCGAAAGGCAGACUAAUACCGCAUAGUCUUCGAUGACGGCAUCAGAUUUGAAGUAAAGAUUUAUCGGUAAUGGAUGGGGAUGCGUCUGAUUAGCUUGUUGGCGGGGUAACGGCCCACCAAGGCAACGAUCAGUAGGGGUUCUGAGAGGAAGGUCCCCCACAUUGGAACUGAGACACGGUCCAAACUCCUACGGGAGGCAGCAGUGAGGAAUAUUGGUCAAUGGACGGAAGUCUGAACCAGCCAAGUAGCGUGCAGGAUGACGGCCCUAUGGGUUGUAAACUGCUUUUGUAUGGGGAUAAAGUCAAUCACGUGUGAUUGUUUGCAGGUACCAUACGAAUAAGGACCGGCUAAUUCCGUGCCAGCAGCCGCGGUAAUACGGAAGGUCCAGGCGUUAUCCGGAUUUAUUGGGUUUAAAGGGAGCGUAGGCUGGAGAUUAAGUGUGUUGUGAAAUGUAGACGCUCAACGUCUGAAUUGCAGCGCAUACUGGUUUCCUUGAGUACGCACAACGUUGGCGGAAUUCGUCGUGUAGCGGUGAAAUGCUUAGAUAUGACGAAGAACUCCGAUUGCGAAGGCAGCUGACGGGAGCGCAACUGACGCUUAAGCUCGAAGGUGCGGGUAUCGAACAGGAUUAGAUACCCUGGUAGUCCGCACGGUAAACGAUGGAUGCUCGCUGUGUGCUUAUUUUUAGUAUGCGGCUAAGGGAAACCAUUAAGCAUCCCACCUGGGGAGUACGCCGGCAACGGUGAAACUCAAAGGAAUUGACGGGGGCCCG
rnacentral:rRNA from 1 species